rnacentral:lncRNA from 1 species
GAGGAAAUGGGGGGGUUGUGGGUCAUGGGGGGAGUUGGGAGUCACGAGUGGGGGUCAGGGGGUGAUGGGUGGGGGUCAGGGGGUCACGCCCUUCGCCCCCCCCUCCCCCCCUCAGAUGUCCCUGACGGCCGUGUCCCUGAGCGCCAUCGCCACCAACGGCCUGGACCCCGGUGAGUGAUGGGGGGGAGGGGCAGCACCCCCCCGCACCCCUCCCCCCACCCCCUGACGCUGACGUCAUCAUCCCGCCGCAGGGGGCGGGGCCUUGGGGCUGCUGUCGGGGGGGCUGGGCCCUGCCGCGGGGGGGGCCGUGGGGCUCCUGGCCUUCCUCAGCGCCGCCUUCGCCGCCGCCGCCGCCGCCCUGGGCAGCGCCGAGAUCCUGCUGGUGUACCUGGCCCCGGGGGCGGCCUUCCUGCCGGGGGGGGGUCGCUGGGGUCGCCUGAACAACGGGCGGGGUUAUGGGGCGGGGCUCCUGGGGCUCCUGGGCUUGGGGGCCGCCGCCCCUCCCCCCGUGCCCCGCCUCCUGGCCCCACUGGGCCCCACCGGCCUCCUCCUGGCCCUCCUGGGGCUGGGGGCGGGGGCCCUGCGCCCCUCCCCCCCCACGUGAGUCACCCCCCCUCCUUCCCCUCCUCCUCCCCCCCCGCCCGGUAUGCAAAUGAGAUGCUAAUAAGGCUCCACCCCCUAAAGGCUCUGCCUUCCCGCCCAACCCGGAGGCCGCCUGCAGCCCUGCCCCACGGCUCCGCCCCACGGCUCCGGGGGGGGCAAUGGCAGCCGGGGGGGGGCACGGCCGGCCCUGCCCGGGGUCAGCGCCCGCCUCCUGGCGCGGAACCUGUGGCCCCACCCCCCGGGGGCGGGGCUGGGCGGGGCCGAUGACGUCAUCGAUGACGACGCCUCCUUCGGGGUCCUGCUGGGGCUGAGCCUCCCCACGGCCUCCGGUGAGUCCGCAGCCGUGGGGCGCGCUAUGGGGCAGGGGAUGCUGUGGGGCGAUUCUACGGGGCAGGGCUGCUGUGGGGGGUGUCCCAUAGGGCGAUGUGUGGGGCAGGGGAUGCUCUGGGGCAGGGGCUGUUCUGGGGGAUGCCCCAUGGGGCAUGCUAUGGGGCAGGGGCUGCUCUGGGGGCGAUUCUAUGGGGCAGGGCUGCUGUGGGG